CCCUGCAAGCCUCUGCCUCAGGUGGUGAACUUUCCCAGCAGCUGGACAUGGAGCCUGGAACAGGCAUGCAGCUCGAGGCCCUAAACCAGGCUUUGCAAGAAGAGCUGUCCACUCUGCUUGGGAAGUGUGAACAACUGGAGAAGAGCAAAUGUCAGCUGCAAGAAGAGGUGACAAAACUCCACCAUCAUUUGGAGACUUUGGUGCUGGAUGGCAGCCAAAGAGAACAGUGUACAGGAGAGGUGGCAGAAGGAGCUGACCAGGAAAGAAGUCCAAAGCUACAAGAGGUCAGCCUCGUUUUGCAAGCACAGGCAGCCCACCAGGCCCCACUAGGACAAAUUGAAGACAGUCAUUGUGUUUCCAUGAGAAUCCAGUUGGAAGAA